AUUCUAAGGAAAAGAAAUUUUGACAAAGCUUAGUUUUACAGAGGGGGAUAUGAUAUGGCUAUAUCAAGGUUGCUCCUGUGGCGGGACGAUCUUACUGAUGGCAAGGGUUUAAAGUAAUUCGGAAUACUAUAGAGUUCAUUCUGGCAUUUAAACAUAAAAACAAGGUCCUUAGUUUCGUGCCCGUAGGAGAGGAGUAGUGAGUUGGCGUGCAUGGUAUGGUAGUUCAGCGCUAAUUUUAGGUAUUAAUUUAGUCGCACGUCUGGAGAGUCACCAAGAAGCUUAUGUCCGUAAUAGCACGGGCAAACCAGACGAAAUGUUCCUGUAUCGAAUAUUAUCUUUAAUUUGUUCACCGAAUAUAUCUGUUAUAAAGCCAAUUUCUUGAA